rnacentral:rRNA from 1 species
AGGACGAACGCUGGCGGCGUGCUUAACACAUGCAAGUGGAGCGACGAACCAGGGCUUGCCCUGGGGCAGAGCCGCGAACGGGUGAGUAACACGUGGGUUACCUGCCCCGAUGACCGGGACAACCCGAGGAAACUCGGGCUAAUACCGGAUGUGGUCUUCGGACGAAAGGAGCUUCGGCCUCCGCAUCGGGAUGGGCCCGCGGCGCAUUAGCUUGUGGUGGGGUAACGCCCACCAAGGCUACGAUGCGUAGCUGGUCUGAGAGGACGAUCAGCCACACUGGGACUGAGACACGGCCCAGACU